rnacentral:tRNA from 1 species
GGGCCCGUGGCCUAGUCUGGAUAAGGCGUCGGCCUUCUAAGCCGAAGAUCCGGGGUUCAAAUCCCCGCGGGUCCGCCA